UACGUAGGGGGCAAGCGUUGUCCGGAUUUACUGGGCGUAAAGAGCGCGUAGGCGGAACGUUAAGUCCGAUCUGAAAGCCCCCGGCUCAACCGGGGAGGGUGGUUGGAAACUGGCGUUCUUGAGGGCGAUAGAGGAAGGUGGAAUUCCUGGUGUAGCGGUGAAAUGCGUAGAGAUCAGGAGGAACACCAGUGGCGAAGGCGGCCUUCUGGGUCGACCCUGACGCUGAUAGCGCGAAAGCCAGGGGAGCAAACGGG
rnacentral:rRNA from 1 species